rnacentral:ribozyme from 14 species
AGAACAGAUCUUGGUGAAUCUUGUUUUUUUUUCUUUUUUUUUGAUUCUUGUUUAUUACUUUUUCGUUCAUUUUC